ensembl:snoRNA SNORA70 Small nucleolar RNA SNORA70
CUGCAGCCAAUUAAGCCAACUGUCCUCUUUUCCUGUGGGGCCUGGUGUCCAAUGGCUGCAAACAGCAGCAACCUCAGUAGUUUAUGCAGUCUGUUUCACAUACAGGUUCCCUAAGGGACAUUGGAGACAGCC